rnacentral:misc_RNA from 1 species
AAACAAUCAAGUUUGCCUAAUGAAGCCUAUGUUUUUCAGUGGCUGUGAUUUGUACUUCCUAUAUAUAUAUAGACUUCUUUCUUAGAUGUCUUAUAAUUCAAAAAAAAUAACUAAAAAAAAUGUUGACGGGUGGUUGUGGGUGUAUAGUCAAAUUUUUGUAGGGAGUAGGGACCAUAGUUUUUAACAUGAUCUCAUUUCUACCAAGUUAUUUUGAUUAUUUAGAUAGAAAUAGAAUCACAAGGAGAUCAAAAAGUGGGAGAUGACUCUAAAUAAUUAAGAAGACAAUCCAAAUAUACAGACAUGUUCAUUUAAUAAUUGAGCAAAGAAAUUUAUAUUCAAAUCCUAAUAGGAGUAAUGUAGUCAACUAAGUGUGUUUGAAACAAUUAGCUUUGCUUAUUUAUGUUCUCUUAUUAUUAAUCUGUUCCUUAUAGAACAUUCAGAGUCUUCAUGUAAUUUAUUUGCUGGUCCUAAAUAAAAUUUUCAUUUUCCCCCACUAUGAAACAAACUAAAAUUUUUAAUUGGUGGUGCUGAUUGUAAACUGUUUUUAUGGUGAUGCUAAUUUUUUUGCGUAUAAAAUCAUACAGUAAGCAAGACUGUUUAAAUGGUGGUGCUAACUGUAGAACUUUACAU